AAUAAAAUAAAAAAGAAAUUAACCUAUGUUAAAUAAAACACACGUGAAAGCUGCUUCAACAGAUGCAUUGUUCUCUUCUUCCCCAUCAUUCUCUUCUUCCCCAUCGUUCACUUCUUCCAUUAACUCGAACCAGAGAAGCUUCAUGACGUCCCACAACUACGCAAUCUGAACUCACGAUGGUGGAGGUUGUCAAGCUUCAUCUUCGACCUCCAUUGGUGACGUCGAAGCUAGUGUGCGAAGGAGAAGACUCUGUGACUGUGGGGUUAAAGCUCCAUUGGUGACGUCGUGGUCAGAUGACAACCCGGGAAGGCGAUUCUUUGGCUGUGGAAUGUAUAAGGUGACGGGGAAAAACUGCUGCAACUAUUUUGUUUGGUAUGAUGGUGAAGGUAACACAAGGGACAAGAAGAUUUUUGCUAGGUUGAUUGGAAGAAUUGAAGAGGAAGGAUAAAUCCUUAGUUAGGAUUGCUAUAACUGUUUGGGUCAUUAGUGUGGUGUUAGCCUUUGUUCUUGGCAUGUUAUAUAUGAAGUAUUAGUCUAGAAAGUGUGUUUAAUUGUCAUGUAAUGCACCAUUUUGAUAAAAUGUAAUGCACAAUGGGGUAUGUAACUCAAAUUCAAUGAAAUGCACAAGGUUGUUCGUGGCA